rnacentral:rRNA from 1 species
GACGAACGCGGGCGGCGUGCUUAAUACAUGCAAGUCGAACGAACCGCGACUGAGUGCUUGCACUUGGUCAAGGUGAGUGGCGAACGGGUGAGUAACACGUGGGUAACCUACCUCAUAGUGGGGGAUAACAGUCGGAAACGACUGCUAAUACCGCAUAGGACAUGGAAUCACAUGAUUCCGUGAGGAAAGGUGGCGCAAGCUAUCACUAAGAGAUGGACCCGCGGUGCAUUAGCUAGUUGGUAGGGUAACGGCCUACCAAGGCGAUGAUGCAUAGCCGACCUGAGAGGGUGAUCGGCCACAUUGGGACUGAGACACGGCCCAAACUCCUACGGGAGGCAGCAGUAGGGAAUCUUCCGCAAUGGACGCAAGACUGACGGAGCAACGCCGCGUGAGUGAAGAAGGUCUUCGGAUCGUAAAGCUCUGUUGUUAGAGAAGAACAGCGCAUAGAGUAAACUGUUAUGCGUGUGACG